GUGAAAGUGAAAGCAGCUCAGCCUGAACAGAGUUUUGAGAGACUGCCAAAAGAAAACAGUUUUUAUGAUAUCUGGAGGCAGAGAGCAGCAUCACACAGGCUGCUAGUUCUCCUGCUGCUGCUAUCUGGACGAAGUUUAAACCAUGACAACACUCACCCAAUGAAGUCCACCUGGUCUGCAACUCAUCAUACUUCCCAUAACACCAGCCAGGAUGUUAACCCCCUAGCUUGAUCAGGAAGCUUUAAUGAGUAGCUGGAUUUGUCUCGCAUUAACUGGCUGGACACAGAGGACAUCGAAAUGCAGCUGAUUGAACUGAAAAGCU